AAUAUUGCGCAAGGGAGGGAACUCUGACGCAGCGACGUCGCGUGAGCGAAGAAGGUCCUCGGAUCGUAAAGCUCUGUCUUUGGGGACGUAAGAAAUGACUGUACCCAAUGAGGAAGCUCUGGCCAACUACGUUCCAGCAGCCGCGGUAACAAGUAGGGGGCAAGCGUUGUCCGGCAUUACUGGGCGUAAAGGGUGCGUAGGCGGCAUAUUAAGUCAGGUGUGAAACCCCACGGCUCAACUGUGGGCUUGCACAUGAAACUGGUAUGCGUGAGUACAGGAGAGGAAAGCGGAAUUCCUAGUGUAGUGGUGAAAUGCGUAGAUAUUAGGAAGAACACCAGUGACGAAGGCGGCUUUCUGGACUGUAACUGACGCUGAGGCACGAAAGCGUGGGGAGCAAACA
rnacentral:rRNA from 1 species